rnacentral:rRNA from 1 species
UACGUAGGGUGCGAGCGUUAAUCGGAAUUACUGGGCGUAAAGCGUGCGCAGGCGGGCUUUUAAGCCAGACGUGAAAUCCCCGGGCUUAACCUGGGAAUGGCGUUUGGGACUGGGAGUCUGGAGUGCGGCAGAGGAGACUGGAAUUCCUGGUGUAGCAGUGAAAUGCGUAGAUAUCAGGAGGAACACCGAUGGCGAAGGCAGGUCUCUGGGCCGAUACUGACGCUGAGGAGCGAAAGCGUGGGGAGCGAACAGG